GUGUUUGUUUCAAGUUAUAAUUGUUGAUUCUCGGGAAUAAAAUGAUAGAAAUGUAUAUGUCUAUGUUUGUUACAAGUUUACUAAAAUUUAUUCCUUGGUAUAAAAUGUUCCUGGGAAUAGAAAAAAAUUUCCCAAGGAAAAGGGUGGGAAUAAAGUUCUCAUGGAGAUGUGAAUAAAUUCAUAAAUAGUUUACCUAUUAUAAUCCCUAUUUUUAUGGUUCCUAGGAAUAUUAUAAAGCUAACCAAAC
rnacentral:lncRNA from 1 species